AUUGAACGCUGGCGGCAUGCCUUACACAUGCAAGUCGAACGGCAGCACGGGUGCUUGCACCUGGUGGCGAGUGGCGAACGGGUGAGUAAUGCAUCGGAACGUACCCGGAAGUGGGGGAUAACGUAGCGAAAGUUACGCUAAUACCGCAUAUUCUGUGAGCAGGAAAGCGGGGGAUCGCAAGACCUCGCGCUUCCGGAGCGGCCGAUGUCGGAUUAGCUAGUUGGCGGGGUAAAGGCCCACCAAGGCAACGAUCCGUAGCGGGUCUGAGAGGAUGAUCCGCCACACUGGGACUGAGACACGGCCCAGACUCCUACGGGAGGCAGCAGUGGGGAAUUUUGGACAAUGGGGGCAACCCUGAUCCAGCCAUGCCGCGUGAGUGAAGAAGGCCUUCGGGUUGUAAAGCUCUUUCGGCUGGGAAGAAAUCGCAUCUCCUAAUACGGGGUAUGGAUGACGGUACCAGCAUAAGAAGCACCGGCUAACUACGUGCCAGCCGCCGCCGUAA
rnacentral:rRNA from 1 species